rnacentral:rRNA from 1 species
GCAAGUCGAACGAUGAAGCCCCUCGGGGUGGAUUAGUGGCGAACGGGUGAGUAACACGUGGGCAAUCUGCCCUGCACUCUGGGACAAGCCCUGGAAACGGGGUCUAAUACCGGAUACCACUCCCGCAGGCAUCUGCGGGGGUUGAAAGCUCCGGCGGUGCAGGAUGAGCCCGCGGCCUAUCAGCUGGUUGGUGAGGUAACGGCUCACCAAGGCGACGACGGGUAGCCGGCCUGAGAGGGCGACCGGCCACACUGGGACUGAGACACGGCCCAGACUCCUACGGGAGGCAGCAGUGGGGAAUAUUGCACAAUGGGCGCAAGCCUGAUGCAGCGACGCCGCGUGAGGGAUGACGGCCUUCGGGUUGUAAACCUCUUUCAGCAGGGAAGAAGCGCAAGUGACGGUACCUGCAGAAGAAGCGCCGGCUAACUACGUGCCAGCAGCCGCGGUAAUACGUAGGGCGCGAGCGUUGUCCGGAAUUAUUGGGCGUAAAGAGCUCGUAGGCGGCUUGUCACGUCGGGUGUGAAAGCCCGGGGCUUAACCCCGGGUCUGCAUUCGAUACGGGCUAGCUAGAGUGUGGUAGGGGAGAUCGGAAUUCCUGGUGUAGCGGUGAAAUGCGCAGAUAUCAGGAGGAACACCGGUGGCGAAGGCGGAUCUCUGGGCCAUUACUGACGCUGAGGAGCGAAAGCGUGGGGAGCGAACAGGAUUAGAUACCCUGGUAGUCCACGCCGUAAACGGUGGGCACUAGGUGUUGGCGACAUUCCACGUCGUCGGUGCCGCAGCUAACGCAUUAAGUGCCCCGCCUGGGG